AGCUGCCUCAAGUCCGUCGGCGCACAUCUGAGAGGCAGUACGAGCACCAUCAAACAUAGCUUGAAUUAGUUUAUCUUGAUUGACAUGGGGGAGUUGUUUGCUAGGACACAAACCGAAGGAAAUCGACAUUCUUUUAACGACACUGUGAUCUAUGCUUGGUGGAACAUUUGGAAAUUGUGGAAACUUUGCACUUUCCAGAGUUGGAGCAUCUGGAUAGCCAGAAAUGAUUGGAUCUUUAAAGAGGUUUUUCCACCUGUGCAAGCAUGUUUGAUUCGAUUCAAAUCAGUUUUUAC
rnacentral:lncRNA from 1 species